rnacentral:lncRNA from 1 species
GCUGGGAUUAUUUUAUACCCAACAGAUUGAAAAUUCCAUAGCACAUGCCGUAUCAGCAAAAUAAAAAUUUUAAUUUGUUAUGUUAUGUCAUCAUUUUUAUGCCAUAUCAUUUACGUUAGCCAUCUCGGCUAAUGCUACAUCACUCUGUUUAGGCAUUUUUGUUAUAUAAGUAUUUAUUUUCGAUAUGUAAGUAUCAGUUAUUGCCAAUUGAAAUUGUGGAUAAGAGAAAAUGGUCGGAAUCCGAGGUAAAGGUCAC